AGGGAAAAAAGCAAAAAUUGCAGUGCCUCUUUUUCUCCACUGUAGCUAAAGCUAUAGCUACAAAAAAGUUGUCUUCUACACGCUCCAUUAUGCAGUUGCAGAGGCUAGUGGAUACUAGCUACCAUCACAGAACAGAUAUGCCAUAGCUCUGCAAAAGUUCUCCCUCGUGGAAAAUUAACUGUAAAGAUCAGUUUGGGUGAUGCUCGAUCUAGCUAGCUAGACCCACAAUUAGACCCCAAGUAUUAAGAGUUAAAUCAAACGGCUAUCAAAGAUCUCACAAUCAUACAACACUUGAAACAAAAAUUUGAAAAAAGGUUUUAAUCAGAUCGCAGAUUAAAAAAAUUUCAUCUAAUUUAAGUUAGAUCCGAAUUCAGAAAAUCAUCGAGUUAGCAUACUCGACCGGCAGAUUGAAUAUCAUACCUUAUUUGUAAAUUGCCUUGGUGGGUCCAUAUAGCAACCACAUGUAUACAAGGUGCAUCCAAUUUUUAGCACAACAAAAAAGUAAUAUCAAAAUGCUUAGCUUGUUUCCCACUUUAACCAUUGUCGAAGAAAGUCUUCAAGUAAAUCCAAAGGAUUUAUUAUACAAUAA
rnacentral:lncRNA from 1 species